CACGUGGGGUGCGAGCGUUGUCCGGAAUUAUUGGGCGUAAAGAGCUCGUAGGCGGUGUGUCGCGUCGGCCGUGAAAACCUGCAGCUUAACUGUGGGCGUGCGGUCGAUACGGGCAUCACUGGAGUUCGGCAGGGGAGACUGGAAUUCCUGGUGUAGCGGUGAAAUGCGCAGAUAUCAGGAGGAACACCGGUGGCGAAGGCGGGUCUCUGGGCCGAUACUGACGCUGAGGAGCGAAAGCGUGGGGAGCGAACAGG
rnacentral:rRNA from 1 species